rnacentral:rRNA from 1 species
UACGUAGGUGGCAAGCGUUGUCCGGAUUUAUUGGGUUUAAAGGGUGCGUAGGCGGCUUUGUAAGUCAGUGGUGAAAUAUGGCAGCUUAACUGUCAAGGUGCCAUUGAUACUGCGGAGCUUGAGUACAGAUGAGGUAGGCGGAAUUGACGGUGUAGCGGUGAAAUGCUUAGAUAUCGGCAAGAACACCUAUAGCGAAGGCAGCUUACUAGGCUGUAACUGACGCUGAGGCACGAAAGUGUGGGGAUCAAACAGG